rnacentral:lncRNA from 1 species
UUAGAUCUCAUCCAUCUUAUAAAACGACGUUUGGGUUCGAUCUGACUGAUAAAAUGAGUUCUUGAUUAUAAUUGUUAUUUUUAAUUUGUUAAAAUUCAAUGAAUAAUCAAAAUACAAUAGUAGUGAUCACGUACAUGUAAUAACCAAAAAGAAAAAGAACAACAAUUCAAAAAAAGAGGACGAUAGGAUAAAACCAAUUCAUCUUAUGCAACGAUAAAAACGACCAAAAAGGAUAGGAAUGCUAAGCUCAUGAUUCCAGAAAUUCCUUUGAUCGCGUUCUUUUUAUAUCCAGCAGAUUUUUCUAUCUCUGGGCUUUUUGCCGACGAAGGACUCUCCGUUGACGACGGACUUGCAGGUGCUGACGAAGGACUGGUUACAAAUGAAGAGUUUCCUAUAGAUGCCAGAUCAAAGAGUAAUUCAGGUAUGGAAAAAAUGGAUCUUACAAUUCGUAAAAAAUAUGAAGUAAUUACUAACCUAGAAGACUUCGGUCUCGAUCAGAGUUGCAGGAGAACGAAUCGUUGGUAUUUAUCCCGCAUUCAAACAACUUAUCAUUUGCAGUCUCAUCGUCUGUAAGAUGUCUGGUCGGGGCAUUCCUGAGCAUAGGCGACAAUGCAUUUUGUGAUCAAUUCUCCAUUGGUCGUCGAUGAAAAUAAGGAUACCACAACGGCAAAGACGACAAUCGCAACCCUCAAGCUCCCCAUCUUGAUAUGAAAUGUUUUUUCUUGAGUUGUUUUGUUGUGUGUUUUGGUGUGAGAUGGAUAAAUGGUAUGGGUACGUUGAUGUAUAAUAUAUAUGGUUUGUAAUCUAACACUAGUCUUACACACGUUAGCUUAAUUCCAAAUAAUAUAUUCAAAUGAUUAUUAAGCG